rnacentral:rRNA from 1 species
UACGUAGGGCGCAAGCGUUGUCCGGAAUUAUUGGGCGUAAAGCGCGUGUAGGCGGCUCGUUAUGUCGGGUGUGAAAGCCCUCAGCUUAACUGAGGAAGUGCGCCCGAAACUGGCGAGCUUGAGUGCCGGAGAGGAUAGCGGAACACCCGGUGUAGAGGUGAAAUUCGUAGAUAUCGGGUAGAACACCAGUGGCGAAGGCGGCUAUCUGGACGGUAACUGACGCUGAGACGCGAAAGCGUGGGGAGCAAACAGG